rnacentral:rRNA from 1 species
CGGUAAUUCCAGCUCCAAUAGCGUAUAUUAAUGCUGCUGCUGUUAAAAAGCUCGUAGUUGGAUCCAGAGUGGCAGGUUGCACAGUGGCCCUGCUUCGGUUUUGUGGGCUUCGGUCUGCUGCCGUUGCAGCGGAGCAACCCUGUGCUCUCGACCUGCACUCUUUCAACACCGGAACGGAAGCCCUGCAAGUAGGCUCCUUAAGUGGGGCUGAAAGCGCUUACGCGUCAACCAUACGCAUACGGGCCGUCGGUGGAUGUUACUGUGAACAAACCAGCGUGUCCAAAGCAGGCUUUCUUUUGCCCUGCAUGUUCGAGCAUGGAAUAACAAGGAAUCGAUCCACUCGGUUCUUUUUGUUGGUUUUUAACCCGAGAAGGAAGAAUUCGGUGUACGGUGUCUCAGUGGGGUUUCCCAUAUCUUCGGAUGUGGCCCUCAUCUGGGCCGGUCGCUACCGGGAUCAACAGAGACUGCCGGGGUUGUACGUACUCUCCGCGUCAGAGGUGAAAUUCUUUUAUCGCGGGAAGACGAACUUCUGCGAGAGCAUUCGACAAGAAUGUCUUCAUUAAUCAAGAACGAGAGUGUGGGGAUCGAAGAUGAUCAGAUACCGUCAGUAGUCCACUACCGUAAACAAUGCCGUCUCAGGAUCGAGGGGCGAAAUCUCAUGACUCUCACGGCACUAACCCCUGAAACGAGAAAUCAAAGAUUAUGGGUUCAGGGGGGAGUACAUUCGCAAGGCUGAAACUUAAAGGAAUUGACGGAAUGACACCACCAGGCGUGGAGUAUGCGGCUUAGUUUGACUCAACACGGGGAAUUUUACUAGGUCAGGACAAUGUAAGGAUUGACAGAUUGAGAGCUCUUUCUCGAUCCAUUGUAUGGUGGUGCAUGGCCGCUCCUGGUUGGUGGAGUGAUUUGUCUGGUUGAUUCCGUUAACGAACGAGAUCUCGACCCAUAAAUAGGUGGCUGGCAUGUUCUGUAGGUUGGUUCGCACUCCUGCGGGAGAUUGCGUCCGACUGAAUGCCAGAAACACUUCUUAAGGGGACUGUGUGCGUCUCUAGCACACGGAAGAGCGAGCCAAUAGCAGGUCUGUGAUGCUCCUAAAUGUCCUAGGCUGCACGCGCACUACACUGAUGCAUUAAACGAGUCUGCUCACAUUUUGUGACCUACCUUGAAGAGGGUGGGAAACCUUUUGAACUUGCAUCGUGAUGAGGAUCGAUGAUUGCAAUUAUUCUCCUUGAAUGAGGAAUGCCUAGUAGGCGCAAGUCAUCAGCUUGCACUGAUUACGUCCCUGCCAUUUGUACACACCGCCCGUCGUUGCUACCGAUUGGCAAGUUGGUAGAGGAGGGUGGAGGAGUGGAACCAGAGGGAAACCCUUCUGGUUCUUCCAAAAUCAACCAAUAUCGAGUUGCUAGAGGAAGCAAAAGUCGUAACAAGGUAACC